UACGUAGGGAGCAAGCGUUAUCCGGAUUUACUGGGUGUAAAGGGAGCGUAGACGGCCAGACAAGUCUGAAGUGAAAAUCCAGCGCUUAACGUUGGAAGUGCUUUGGAAACUGCCGGGCUAGAGUGCAGGAGGGGCAGGCGGAAUUCCUAGUGUAGCGGUGAAAUGCGUAGAUAUUAGGAGGAACACCAGUGGCGAAGGCGGCCUGCUGGACUGCAACUGACGUUGAGGCUCGAAGGCGUGGGGAGCAAACAGG
rnacentral:rRNA from 1 species